rnacentral:rRNA from 1 species
GCACCACAAGAACGCGUGGAGCAUGUGGCUUAAUUUGACUCAACGCGGGAAAUCUUACCGGGUCCGGACACACUGAGGAUUGACAGGCAAUAUCUCAUGGUUAUUAACCCGUUAAUGGUUAUUUAUUUAAUAGCCAGCGGUUAAUUAAGCAUCGAGUGUUAAAUAUGCUAGUCCUUUCAUGAUUAUGUGAUAGGUGGUGCAUGGCCGUUCUUAGUUCGUGGAGUGAUCUGUCUGCUUAAUUGCGUUUCACUAAGGGCCCAUAAAUUCAAGGUAUGUUAGCUAUCGUCGCUCUACGGACCCCUUAUUCACUGCUUUAAUUAGUUUGUUUAAGCGCGCGUCUUUAUUUAAUGAGUUUAAGACACUGCGCAUGCUGUUGGGCUCUGAAAGCAACGAACGUGACCGCAACGUCUUGUUGCCUUAAUAAAGUUGGCUUUAAAUACGAUUAGCCGUUUAAAUACGAAUUGUAUUUAAACCGCUUACAGAGGCUAUUUAAAACUAGACGGACCGCUGUUUCUUUUCUUAAACCAGAGGAAGGUUGCGGCAAUAACAGGUCUGUGAUGCCCUUAGAUGUUCCGGGCUGCACACGUGCUACAAUGAUCAGUACAGUGAGCAUCUCAAUAUAAUACACCGUCUUAGCGCUUAGACGCGAUUAAUGGAUUGCUUUUUAUUAAGCGAGUCGUUUAAUCGAUGUUUUCUAAUGUGCGCGGUAAAGCCUGCUUCGAGAGUAAGCGGGUAAUCCAUUGGAAGUAAUGAUUUCUCUAUAUCUAGUGCACAACUAUGCACGGCACUCAUUCCCGAGACGGCUAGUUUCGUUUUUUAGUGUGAAUGUAGUGUUAUUCAAACGUGCGUGCAAUUGUCAAUUCAUGGUGGGGACAGACCAUUGUUAACUGUUGGUCUCGGUCUUAACUAGGAAUGCCUUGUACGGGUCUUUGGUUCAACAAACCACCCGGAAUACGUCCCCGCCCUUUGUACACACCGCCCGUCGCUCUUACCGAUGGACUUUUUUGUGAGUCUAAGGGACUGGGUUAAACCACUCGUUUAUUCUAUUAUUCGGAUGGCAGUACCUAUGGAAACUUAUGCGAACAAAGUGGUCUAAAGGAAAGAGAAGUCGUAACAAGGC